rnacentral:lncRNA from 1 species
AAACCCCAGUGUCCUGAGCUCCCUUCGCUCCUCCCGAGCAGCACCACGUCGCCUCCUCGCAUGCCCCGCGGCCACCCAGGCCGUCGAAGUGCAGCCACCGGCUAGCAUCGCGCUGGAGCCAAGACGGUCGCCCCCGGACCCGUGCCCCUCUUCCUCCUCCUUCCUCUGUGCUCUCUCUCCCAAUGGUUUAUCUCCUUCUCUUUGUGCAGCCGCCAUGGCCCGUUGCCAGUCGCCAGCCCCGCCUCCAGCCAGAUCCGGGCUAGCCGCCCCCAGAUCCGGCGACUCCGGCCGCCCCGGUUCGUCCCCGACGCCUGCGAUGCCCCGUUGCCGCGCGUGGCAACCGCCGUUGUGACCUCUGUCUCGUCCAGGACGGCAGGACGUGAGUUCCUUCUGAUCUGAAUUCGGUCCUUUUCCAGAUCCGUCCGACUUGUGAGGUUAUUUAAAAUUGUCAUUAUGUUCUGAAAUGACCUAUGCAGUUGCCCGAGUGGUUUGUGCCACUUCGUAUUACCCGCUCAGGGUUCCAAUCCCCACGGAUGCACAUCGUUUUAUCAAUUUUUGCCUCAAGUCGUUGUUUCUCCUUCAUGUUAAUUUGGUCCCCUCGUCAUGGCACAAAUAUUGAGAUAGCUCAAUUUUUGUGUGCCAAGCAUUCGCAUCCAUGAGGUUCUGGGUUCAAAUCUAGGUCGCCUCGGUUUAAUUUUUCUAGCAAAAGGGCCCGUGCGUUGCAACGGGAGAAAAAAAUACCACACACUUUUA